ACUCGACACAGAGCUUCUUGUCGCUGUGAGUGAUGGGCAUCUAAUCGCCCUGGACCCCCGGAUGGCUGUAGCAAGCUCCUCAGUUAGAAUUGAAUCACCAGACUUGGAGCAAGAUAGGUGUAAACAAAGAGAAAAACAAUACAAGCUCACUAAUAAUAGACUGAUGGUAUUUCUUAUACAGAAACUGAAACUAAUGACUGCUAGAAUUCCACCAUUCUACCGAUGUUACAAGCACCUAAAGUCACUAUUAUUCCAAAUAACACCACCGUUACUGAAGCAAGCAACAAACUAAACUCUAGAACAUCAAAGGACAAUAAGAUCAAUCCAUCUCUGAAGCUCGCAUGACAGAAAUGCCAACUUCUAACCUAGUUCAAAGAUAUUGUAUGUAAUAGAUUGGCAUCAUUAUGUCUAAUAUGCAAUAAAUUAUGCAACAAAUAGAAUCCAAUAAAUCCAGUAAAUCUAAUUUCAUGCUUCUAUGUAUAUUAGUUUUUUAGAUUUAAGAGGAGAAAUAUUUCAUGAACAUUUAAAGUCCUCAUGCUUAGAAUUAGACGACACAAGCAUUAGAACUGCAUUUGUUCGAUCCUUGAGUGAAACCUUUCUACUCCCAAGAAAAGAAAAAGAGAAGAUAAGUGUAAUCUAGAUGUGGCAUCAAUAGCAUAGCUAGAAAGUAUAUAUAGAUGGAGUUGUUCGAGACUGACUUACCAUUUUGCAUUGAAGUUUGCAAAUAAAACAUUUUUAUAUUUGAACAAGGGGACUUGUAAACCUCUGAACCAGGAACAGACAUUUCUUUAAGAUUUAACAAAUAGCAGCAGAAACUCUGCAUGAAACAAACAAUUCUGAUGCACUGAGAUAAACAACUCCAAUGUACUUGUUCAUAUGAAGGUGAUCCAGUAGAUGGACUAACACAGACAACAGUAAGCAUACCUCUUGUCAAUCUGCACUUCAGAGCCUAGUUACUUUUUGAGCCAAUAUAUGCAUCAAUUCAGGAUCCUCCGCUGUAUAAACCUGGUAUCAUGAAGAAAGGAAAAAAUAAGCAUACCUUUUCUCAAUCUGCACUUAGGAGCCUAGAUUUUGUAUCAAUAUCAAUAUGAAAACUGAAGCAAUAUACAUUGGCAUACCAGGAAGAAAGGCAACACUACUCAGCAACACAUAGCCCAUACACCUGAGAGCUAUCAGCAUCCAUGUGACCUUGAAACUGCAUAAGGAAAUAUCAUAGCAAAAUUUUAAUAUUGUCUGAUAGGACACAACAGGCAUGUAUCUUGCUAAGAAAGUUGACAAUCAGCUUGUAAAAAAAGUACCAUGCUAGUUGCAAACCAACCUUCAGUAUCAUCUUUGUAUCAUUAUGUACCAAAGCUCCCUACUUUAUAUUAGCCUAACAAACCUG
rnacentral:lncRNA from 1 species